rnacentral:SRP_RNA from 1 species
GCUGGGUGUGGUGACGCACCCCUGUAAUCCCAGCUACUCGGGAGGCUGAGACAGGAGAAUCACUUGAACCCAGGAGGCAGAGGUUGCAGUGAGCCAAGAUCACACCAUUGCAUUCCAGCCUGGGUAACAAAGUGAAACUCUGUCUCAA